rnacentral:rRNA from 1 species
UAACGCGUAUACAAUCUACCUUUAACUGAGGGAUAGCCCAGAGAAAUUUGGAUUAAUACCUCAUAGUAUUAUAAUUAGGCAUCUUUUUAUAAUUAAAACUUCGGUGGUUAAAGAUGAGUAUGCGUACUAUUAGCUAGUUGGUAAGGUAAAAGCUUACCAAGGCAACGAUAGUUAGGGGGCCUGAAAGGGUGAUCCCCCACACUGGUACUGAGACACGGACCAGACUCCUACGGGAGGCAGCAGUGAGGAAUAUUGCACAAUGGAGGAAACUCUGAUGCAGCCAUGCCGCGUGCAGGAAGAAUGCCCUAUGGGUUGUAAACUGCUUUUAUACAAGAAGAAACCUCGGUACGUGUACCGACUUGACGGUAUUGUAUGAAUAAGCACCGGCUAACUCCGUGCCAGCAGCCGCGGUAAUACGGAGGGUGCAAGCGUUAUCCGGAUUUAUUAGGUUUAAAGGGUCCGCA